AGGAUUAACGCUGGCGGCGUGCCUAACACAUGCAAGUCGAACGGGGUAGCAAUACCUAGUGGCAGACGGGUGAGUAACGCGUGGUCAACCUACCGUUGAGUGGGGGAUAACUAGCCGAAAGGUUAGCUAAUACCGCAUACGUCUCCGAGGGGCAUCCCUUGGCGAUAAAAGGAGCAAUCCGCUCGAUGACGGGACCGCGUCCCAUUAGCUAGAUGGUGGGGUAACGGCCUACCAUGGCACCGAUGGGUAGCUGGUUUGAGAGAGCGACCAGCCACACUGGGAACUGAGAAACGGCCCAGACUCCUACGGGAGGCAGCAGUGAGGAAUUUUCCGCAAUGGGCGCAAGCCUGACGGAGCGACGCCGCGUGUGGGAAGAAGGCCUUCGGGUCGUAAACCACUGUCGAAGGGGACGAUAAUGACGGUACCUUGGAGGAAGCCCGGCUAACUACGUGCCAGCAGCCGC
rnacentral:rRNA from 1 species